CCGUACUCGGCUACUGUAUAUAAAAAGUGCCCAAGAGCGCGUUGUCUUUCUCUUUCCAUCGUCUGAGAAGUGGAAAGAUGUUGGGGUUGUGCAGGAAAUUGUGUAAAAAAGUUCCCGUUGAGGCAAGAGGAUUAAUCCAGCUUCCUUUAUGGGGAACUUGCAAAAGAACCAUACAGGGACAUGUACAACAAAUGAGCAGAAAGAAGACGUGAUCCAGUGAAAAAGCAUUGUUGAUGUGACUUUUGCAGAAUGAGGUAAAUAAGUGGUCAUAAAGAUACAAAUCGGGCAGAAGAUCUAGAUGCUACCUGGUGUUUGGAAAGAGUUUGGACUGGCUGCAACCUUGUUUCCUGAGAAACCUCACAUCUUGACUGGACAGCCUUUGACUACAAUAAUUGCAGAACAUGUUACACACAGCCUUGCUUGUAUAAGUAGCAGAUGCAGAUAUAAUCCUGAUGUUUUGAACCAUAUGGUGAAGGCUUGAACUGGCUCCCUAGUAAAGAAGUUAACGUGAUGACCUAUUUGCCCAGUGUAGCAAGACUUGUUUGAUCAUUGAGGGAUCUGGCUAAAUUGCUGUACCCAUUCCCUAGAGAAAAGUUGAGAACAGCUAAGCCAAAAGCAGUGGGUGAAGAGGUUGUUCUGAUAAUACCCACUGGAUUAAAGCCAGGAUUGUCAAGCAUGUUUCUCUGCAAAUUUCUGUCAUUCACUAUUUUUAAAGAUGUACUAUAAAUUAUUUUGAAUUUUCAGAUUUCUGAUGUAAAGACCUCAUCAAUUUAUGUAAACCUCUGUUAAAGGAGAUUUUGUUUUGA